UACGUAGGGUGCAAGCGUUGUCCGGAAUUAUUGGGCGUAAAGAGCUCGUAGGCGGUCUGUCACGUCGGCUGUGAAAACCCGAGGCUCAACCUCGGGCCUGCAGUCGAUACGGGCAAACUAGAGUACUGCAGGGAGACUGGAAUUCCUGGUGUAGCGGUGGAAUGCGCAGAUAUCAGGAGGAACACCGGUGGCGAAGGCGGGUCUCUGGGCGAGUGAACUGACGCUGGAGGAAGCGAAAGCGUCGGGAGCGAACAGG
rnacentral:rRNA from 1 species